AGCUCAACCAGGUAGAGCAGUUGACUCUUAAUCAAUUGGUUGGGGGUUCGAUUCCUCCC
rnacentral:tRNA from 1 species